rnacentral:rRNA from 1 species
AUUGAACGCUGGCGGCAGGCCUAACACAUGCAAGUCGAGCGGAAGAAGGGAGCUUGCUCCUGGAUUCAGCGGCGGACGGGUGAGUAAUGCCUAGGAAUCUGCCUGGUAGUGGGGGAUAACGUCCGGAAACGGGCGCUAAUACCGCAUACGUCCUGAGGGAGAAAGUGGGGGAUCUUCGGACCUCACGCUAUCAGAUGAGCCUAGGUCGGAUUAGCUAGUUGGUGGGGUAAAGGCCUACCAAGGCGACGAUCCGUAACUGGUCUGAGAGGACGACCAGGCACACUGGGACUGGGACACGGACCAGACACCUACGGGAGGCAGCAGGGGGGAAUUUUGGGCAAGGGGGGGAAACCCGAUCCCGCCAGUCCCCGUGGUGGAAAAAGGCUUUCCGGUUGUAAACUGCUUUUGAGUGGGGAGAAAAGGCUGUGGCUAAUACCUGGGGUUUUUGACGGUAACGAACAAAUAAGCACCGGCUAACUACGUG